rnacentral:rRNA from 1 species
AUUGAACGCUGGCGGGAUGCUUUACAUGCAAGUCGAACGGCAGCACGGACUUCGGUCUGGUGGCGAGUGACGAACGGGUGAGUAAUGUAUCGGAACGUGCCUAGUAGCGGGGGAUAACUACGCGAAAGCGUAGCUAAUACCGCAUACGCCCUUCGGGGGAAAGCGAGACCUUCGGGCCUCGCACUAUUAGAGCGGCCGAUAUCGGAUUAGCUAGUUGGUGGGGUAACGGCCACCCAAGGCGACGAUCCCGUAGCUGGUUUGAGAGGACGACCAGCCACACUGGGACUGAGACACGGCCCAGACUCCUACGGGAGAACGCGGUGGGGAAUUUUGGACAAUGGGGGAAACCCUGAUCCAGCCAUCCCGCGUGUGCGAUGAAGGCCUUCGGGUUGUAAAGCACUUUUGGCAGAAGAAACGGCACGGGAUAAUACCCCGUGCAACUGACGGUACCUGCAGAAUAAGCACCGGCUAACUACGUGCCAGCAGCCGCGGUAAUACGUAGGGUGCAAGCGUUAAUCGGAAUUACUGGGCGUAAAGCGUGCGCAGGCGGUUCGGAAAGAAAGAUGUGAAAUCCCAGAGCUUAACUUUGGAACUGCAUUUUUAACUACCGAGCUGAAGUGUGUCAGAGGGAGGUGGAAUUCCGCGUGUAGCAGUGAAAUGCGUAGAUAUGCGGAGGAACACCGAUGGCGAAGGCAGCCUCCUGGGAUAACACUGACGCUCAUGCACGAAAGCGUGGGGAGCAAACAGGAUUGAUACCCUGGUAGUCCACGCCUAAACGAUGUCAACUAGCUGUUGGGGCCUUCGGGCCUUGGUAGCGCAAUAACGCGUGAAGUUGACCGCCUGGGAGUACGGUCGCAAGAUUAAAACUCAAAGGAAUUGACGGGGACCCGCACAAGCGGUGGAUGAUGUCGGAUUAAUUCGAUGCAACGCGAAAAACCUUACCUACCCUUGACAUGUCUGGAAUCCCGAAAGAGAUUUGGGAGUGCUCGCAAGAGAACCGGAACACAGGUGCUGCAUGGCUGUCGUCAGCUCGUGUCGUGAGAUGUUGGGUUAAAGUCCCGCAACGAGCGCAACCCUUGUCAUUAGUUGCUACGAAGGGCACUCUAAUGAGACUGCCGGUGACAAACCGGAGGAAGGUGGGGAUGACGUCAAGUCCUCAUGGCCCUUAUGGGUAGGGCUUCACACGUCAUACAAUGGUCGGGACAGAGGGGUCGCCAACCCGCGAGGGGGAGCCAAUCCCAGAAACCCGAUCGUAGUCCGGAUCGCCAGUCUGCAACUCGACUGCGUGAAGUCGGAAUCGCUAGUAAUCGCGGAUCAGCAUGUCGCGGUGAAUACGUUCCCGGGUCUUGUACACACCGCCCGUCACACCAUGGGAGUGGGUUUACCAGAAGUAGUUAGCCUAACCGUAAGGAGGCGAUUACCACCAGUAGGAUUCAUGACUGGGGUGAAGUCGUAACAAAGGUAG